UGCCGGUCCCCCCGCAACGAGCAGCCGUGAACCCGGUCAGGCCCGGAAGGGAGCAGCCGUAGCGGUGACCUUGUGUGCCGGGGUGUGGCUGGUGGGGC
rnacentral:SRP_RNA from 3 species